CGUGGGUGAAGAUCAUAAUCUCUCAACCGAUAAUUUAUUCGGGUAUUGAUUUGACAUUGACAGGUAAACACUACUCAGUGACCAUGCAGGUGUCUAAUUGACCGGAUUAACUUGUUUGUUUAUAUAACAGUAUUAUGUAUGGACUAAUGAUUACAAAUGAGAAGGCCGGUUUUAUGAGGUGAUAUUUUAUUGAUUUUGAUUACACAAAUACACAAAUAACGGCCGGUAUCCGGUUUAAAGGGGUGGCCGGUUUUAUAAGGUUACCUGACCGUUUAUUUACAUACACGCCGGCCGGGACUUGUUGAUUUGGCCGGUAUGAAGGGAGAACCGGUAUUAAGAGGGACCGGUUUAGAGAAGUUUCACUGUAUUGGAUA
rnacentral:lncRNA from 1 species